AUGCAGCAGACGCCCCCUCCCUCCGAGAUCAAGGCUGUUUCCUCUCUGCUGCAGCCCGGCUGGGGGGACAGGGCCCCCAUCGCCCGCCUCAGCCCGGCCCAGCCAGGGCAGAGCCGCUCUCCGCCUCGCAGACGGUGUCAAAGCCCAAGUUCAAGUCCACGCCGAGGGGCUCUGCCCCGGGAUUCCCAGCUCCUUUCCAUCCUCCGCCUUUUGUUCGCCUCUGACAAUUGCUCUUUAUUUCUACACACCCCCAGCCUCACCCCCCCCCCCGCCUUCCCGCACUUGGCACCGUUUAGCUGCCUGCCUGCAAACUUAGCAACCCUGGUUCUUGGUAUAAGCACUCAAAUUGCCCUUCUUUCUACAUAUAAACAUGGCCCGGGGUGCGCGGCUCUCCCCCGGGUGCCCCGGCGCGGGGCGGCUGCCUCGCGGCGGCCCCGGCCCCGGGACCGGGACCAGGACCGGGAUCAAAACCGGGACCGGCCCCGGCACCGGCCGCCCGCAAAGUUCCGCCCGGGCCAGCGGGAAGUUUCUGCUCCGAGACACCGUGGGAGCGAAGGAGGGAGGAAGCGAGGCGGACGCAGCACCCCUCCCCGGGGCUCCCCAGGCCGCGCCUGCCCCGGCAGCGCUCAGGUAAGGGACCCCCUUGUUUUCGGGGCCGGCUCUGCUGCGGGGCGCGAUGGCACGGGCAGGUUUGGGGGGGGUCUCUGCAGUGGGGGGGCCUCCCCCGGCGCUGCUGGGGCGCGGAUCCUGCACCCCGCCCGCAAACCCCCGCCGCUGCCCGGGCUUGCUCCGGGGACCGGCGCCUCUGCGGAGCCCCGAGCUGCCUCCCCCCGGUGCGGCCGUGCGGGGCUCCGGGGUAGGCGGCCGGGCCGGGCCGGGCCCGGGGGCUGCUCCGCGCUGCCCGGCUCUGCCUGGCGGGAGAAAUGGGAAAGCAAAGGGGACUUCCCAAAACUUCCUGCUCCUCUGCCCCGGUCCUGCCUCUCUCCGCCCCCCUCGGGAGGGGAACACCCACCUCGGAGCUGGCCUGCGAGCACGGGGGGGACCCCGGCCGGGCCGGCACCCCCGGGCGGCCUCGCACCUGCAGCCCGGGCCGACGGGGGCCAACGGGGGCCGGCAACCCCGGCCCGCUGCUGCCGGGGCGGGGGGUGCACGGGGCCCCCGGUGGGCUCGGGGGCAAACUCCACCCCUGCCGGUAUGUUCAGGGCCUGA
rnacentral:lncRNA from 1 species